GCAAUGUUGGUUCAGUGGCAGAAUCCUUGCCUUCCAUGUGGGAGACCUAGGUUCAAUUCUUGGCCAAUGUA
rnacentral:tRNA from 1 species